AAAACAUGGACGAACGCUGGCGGCGUGCCUCAUACAUGCAAGUCGAGCGGAUGCAGCAAUGCAUUAGCGGCGGACGGGUGAGUAACACGUGGGCAACCUGGCCUUAAGAGGGGGAUAACGUUCCGAAAGGGACGCUAAUACCGCGUAAAUCAGCGAAAUCGCAUGAUUUUGUUGGAAAAGGAGAAAUCCGCUUAAGGAUGGGCCCGCGGCCUAUUAGCUAGUUGGUAGGGUAACGGCCUACCAAGGCGACGAUAGGUAGCCGACCUGAGAGGGUGAACGGCCACACUGGAACUGAGAAACGGUCCAGACUCCUACGGGAGGCAGCAGUAGGGAAUAUUCCGCAAUGGGCGAAAGCCUGACGGAGCAACGCCGCGUGAGUGAAGAAGGUCUUCGGAUCGUAAAGCUCUGUCAACAGGGACGAAACAAGACGGUACCUGAGAAGGAAGCCACGGCAAACUACGUGCCAGCAG
rnacentral:rRNA from 1 species